AGGCUGCUGAUAAAGAAGUUUGACAUUCAAAAUGGUGGAAUUGCUGGAUUCCAGAAAUGACUCACCAAUGAUUCUGACCUGAGGAAAAUUCAUUAUCUACAAAGUAAAGAGAGAAGAAGUGUCCCACUUCCCUGACGAUGGAACCCUGGUUGUACCCAGAACUCCAGGCCUCCACUCCAUAAUUCAGGGAGGCACAGUCCUCACUCUUCAGGUCCGGCUUUCUGGCGAUCUCCUUUGCUUUGCCGGUGAGUGGCUUAAGGGUGGCCAUGAGGCUCUGUCCUGGCCGAGGAGACAUGAGGAGGGAAUAUCACUAAAGGCUGUGAGGAAGAAGAUACAUAGGAUAAACAAACCAAUAUCCCCUCACCCCUCCAAAAAAACCACCAAAAAAACGUGUCCACUAUCUACUGGCUAUUGCUAAGGCAGCCAUUGUAAGCCCGAGUAGAGAAACACUCCCUGAGGGUGGCUGAGCCAAAUGCAGGAAAGAACCUGGGUCCCUGAUGACAUCAUGGAGUCACUAAAUUAACCAGCGCUGGACUACGUGUUAUGUAGAUGAGUUUUCCUCAUGGCUUAGUCCAAUCUGGUCACAACUUGUGCUUUUUUGUAGGCAAAUGCCACCUAGAUAAUACACUCCUUCCUGGCCUUGUUCAAGUGGGUUCCCCU
rnacentral:lncRNA from 1 species